rnacentral:lncRNA from 1 species
GGAAACACCGGUUCACAUUGAGUGCAUCAUCGCUAAUCAGCUACUAUGUAUGGUCAGCGGACAUGCUUGCUUAUUCCUGUAACAUAUCAUUACUCUAUCUGCUUAGCCUUUCCAACUUUUAAGAUUUGAUCCAUUCUUUAGAAGUUCGUACAGAUCUAGAAGUAUUUUGUUUUGUUGGUCAAAUCCAUUGCCUGUCUGUCCUUAUUUAUUUUAUUGUUCGAACAAGAUAUCAGAUCACCUACAUUCAUUAUUCUUGAUUACAGUCUCAUACUAAAGUAGUCUAAAAUGGUCUGAAUAGUUGUAGUAAUUCAUAAAUAUUUUCAGUGUAGUUCUUAUUUGGUUUCUAGGCAUAGAAUUUACUUCAAAAUUUUGAUCUUUAUUUGGUUAGUAAGGCUCUAGAAAAAAACAGACCAAUGAUAUAUAUACAAACAAACACAAUAGGAGUUAACUGGUACCUAGCUUUUGAAACCUCUGAUAUAUACAAAAUAUUAUUUGAGUAGAAUAGGAGAGAUGCAAUCUUAUGGAUAUUUCCGCAUUUGUAAGAAACUUUCCAGCUUGGCAAGAGGGCUUAACUAGACAUGUGUAGGACUCAGCCAUGCUGCCUUCCAAAUGAUUAGUCAUUGGUGUUUUCUUAUGUUCCUGUUAGUCCAAGUGCAUCAGAUAAGUAGACUGUUAUGUUGAAAAAAGGAAAGAGACUACUCUUUUGUUACUUACAGUACAGAUAUAUGCUAUAACAUAUUACCUUUAUGCUCUCGAUUUCAGUAUAUGCCUGCGAACAAGUGAGUCAGUAAUAUCAUUGCCUAAGAAUUACUUUGUUUGCCAUUUUAAUCGUUACAUCAGAGAGCAAUGGAUAUAGAAGAAAUAUGUAAACAGUUGUCCCUAGAAGAAAUAUGCAACAACUUAUUUAGGUUACUUAAUUAAUAACGCCUCUAUAUCAUUACAUACACAUACUGAAUGUGCCUUUUGAGAGUGAGCUUCUGUCAGUACCUCACACUUAUCUUAUAUGCCAUUCCAACUAUCUGUUGCAGUAGAGAGCAAGGGACAUAUAAGAAAUCUCCAGGCAGCUUCGCUUAGAUGCAUCAUCUUCUGCUAGGACCUAGGAGUCAGCUUGAAGAAUGACCUUCUCAGGUUAAUUCUUUGCAGAGAACCUGCUGCACUAUAACUUUGGUUUAAUCUGUCGAUAAUGCCCAUGAGUAUAUUCUUAGUGUAUGUUUGACCAGAUUGUUUUAACUUAUGUUGUUCCUAUGCUUCAGGAGACUGCAACUGACAUGCUGGAUGGUGAAUAACCAAAUUUGUGGACAAAGACAAAGAGUUCAUCGCAAGGGGUGGUGUUUAGGAUAUAUAUACACAACAGAGGAAACUUUCUUUUAUACAGAACCAAAUUAUAUGGUGUAAUUGACCACUAUUUCUAAGAAAUGUUCAUCAUGUAUUAAGUACAUUUUAUUGUGUCACUUUUUUUGAGGGGUAGCUUUAUUCAUCAAACACCACAAAGUGUGCAAUAGAGUUCAUCAAACCAAGCUUUAUUGUGUCACCUAUGUUUACCUUCUUUUUUACUGUGUCGCCUAUGUUUACCUUCUUUUUAGCGUAAGCUAUUUGGACUUUCUAAUUGCAGGCUCAGUUAUUUGACCCACCGAUGUUCUAAUUUGUUGCAUAAUUACAUUAAGCAACUAUUUACAUUUCAUUCUUUGUUUGAAUUUUUUUUAAACUUAUGCCUCUGUGUUCCUGAAUAACAUAACAAAUUAUGCAUGCUCAAGUAUAUAUUUUGAAAGGCAAGUCUAUUAUUUUUUAUAGAAGUAGUUACAAUUCAUGUCCUAUGUGAUUGCUCAAGUGUAUAGUUAUUAACAAAUGCAAAUAUUUUCAAAGUGUUCAUGGUUUUAAAUG